UAGGGCAAUCCUGGUGUACCUGGAACUCCAGGUGAUAAUGGACUCAGAGGAAUACCAGGUAUGGAUGGAAUCAACGGAAUACCAGGUGGCAUUGGACCAGUUGGUCCUCCUGGGCCGCCAGGACCGCCCGGACCACCUGGACCUCCAGGUUCUGGCAAAAACGUAGUUAGUUUGUUUGAUGAAGAAGGCGGCAGCUUCAGUGGAAAUGGGGAGAUGAUAACUGGCCCCGG
rnacentral:sRNA from 1 species